rnacentral:rRNA from 1 species
GUGCCAGCCGCCGCGGUAAUACGGAGGGGGCUAGCGUUGUUCGGAAUUACUGGGCGUAAAGCGCGCGUAGGCGGAUUGGAAAGUUGGAGGUGAAAUCCCAGGGCUCAACCUUGGAACUGCCUCCAAAACUUCCAGUCUGGAGUUCGAGAGAGGUGAGUGGAAUUCCGAGUGUAGAGGUGAAAUUCGUAGAUAUUCGGAGGAACACCAGUGGCGAAGGCGGCUCACUGGCUCGAUACUGACGCUGAGGUGCGAAAGUGUGGGGAGCAAACAGGAUUAGAUACCCUGGUAGUCCACACCGUAA